CCUAAAACUUUUCGUUCUAAUAAUGUUAAAAACGCUACUCUAACCAAAACACAAAUAAUUAAUAAUAAACUUCCUACUAAAGACAAAAUUAAUUCUAUAUAAAACAAGUACUAUUUGUAAUAAAAAUAACAUAAAUAAAUUCUAAAUUUAUUGCACUAAUCUGCCAAAAUAGCUUAUAAUUAUUAAUAAUAUUCUUUUUUAAAAUAUAAUUAUUUUAAUAUUUGGUCCUUUCGUACUAAAAUAUUAUAAUUAAUUAAAGAUAGAAACCAACCUGGCUUACGCCGGUUUGAACUCAGAUCAUGUAAGAAUUUAAAAGUCGAACAGACUUUAAAUUUGAACGGCUACACCCAAAAUUAUAUCUUAAUCCAACAUCGAGGUCGCAAUCUUUUUUAUCGAUAUGAACUCUCCAAAAAAAUUACGCUGUUAUCCCUAAAGUAACUUAAAUUUUUAAUCAUUAUUAAUGGAUCAAUUAUUCAUAAAUUAAUGGUUUUAAAAAUUAAAAGUUUUUUAAAUUUUAAUAUCACCCCAAUAAAAUAUUUUAAUUUAUUAAAAUUAAAUUAAUCUUUAAAAUUAAAAUAAACAAAAUAUAAAGAUUUAUAGGGUCUUCUCGUCUUUUAAUAAAAUUUUAGCUUUUUGACUAAAAAAUAAAAUUCUAUAAAAAAUUAAAAUGAAACAGUUAAUAUUUCGUCCAACCAUUCAUUCCAGCCUUCAAUUAAAAGACUAAUGAUUAUGCUACCUUUGCACAG
rnacentral:rRNA from 1 species